CUUUAGCUUGGGUAAUAUAGUGAGACUCCAUCUCAAAUUUAAAAAAAGAAAGCAGCUGGGCAUGGUGGCCUGUAAUCCAGCAGCAGUUUGGGAGACUGAGGCAAGAGGAUCACCUGAGGGGCCAGGAGGUCAAGAUCAACCUGAGAUACAUAGUGAGAUCCUGUCUCUCCAAAAAAAAAAAAAAAAAAAGCCAGACUCAGUGGCAUGUGCCUGUAGUCCUAGCUACUUGGGAGGCUGAGGCAGAAGAAUUGAUUGAGCCCAGGAGUUUGAGGCUGCAGCAAGGCAUGAUCAUGCCACUGUACUGAAGCCUGGGUAGCAGAGUGGGACCUUGCUUCUUUAAAAAAAAAAAAAAAAAAAAAAAAGUAGGCUGGGCGUGGUGAUUCAUGCCUGUAAUUCCAGCACUUUGGGAGGCUGAGGCAGGUAGAUUGCUUGAGCCCAGGAGUUCAAGACCAGCCCAGGAGUUCAAGACCAGUUCAAGACAUGGUGAGGCCCUGUCUCUACAAAAAAUACAAAAAUUAGCUGGGCAUGGUGGUGCAUGUCUGUAUUCCCAGCUACCCGAGAGGCUGAGGUGGGAGGAUUGAUUGAGCCUGAGAGGCCAGGCUAUAGUGAGCCAUGAUCACUGCACUCCAGCCUGGGUGACAGAGUGAGACCCUGUCUCACAAAAAAGAAAGAAAGAGAAAGAGAGAAAGAGAAGAAAGAAAGAGAAAGAAAGAAAGAGAAAGGAAGGAAAGGAAGAAAGAAGGAAAAAGGAAGGAAGGAAAGAAGAAAGAAAGAAAAAGGAAGGAAGGAAGAAAAGAAAAGAAAAAAAGGAGGGAGGGAGGAAGGAAGGACUCAUCGUGUACAAUGGAUGCUCGAUAAGAUUAACAUCCUAUUUCUCAUCAGAAACCAUAAAGGCCAAAAGGCAGUAAGAUGACAUAUAUUAAGAGUGCUGAAAGAAAAAAACACCCCCUGUCACCCCAGAAUUCUCUAUCUAACGAAACUAUUCUUCAAAAAUGAAGGAGGGAAAGAAGACAUUAAAACAUUCUAAGAUAAAGACUGGAAGAUUUCAUCACUAGUAAACCUGACGUAUAAGAAAUCCUAGGCCAGGCACGGUGGCUCACCCCUGUAAUCUCAGCACUUUGGGAGGCCGAGGCAGGUGGAUCAUCUGAGGUCAGGAAUUUGAGAUCAGCCUGGCCAACAUGGUGAAACCUCGUCUCUACUAAAAAUAAAAAAAACUUAGCCAGGCGUAGUGGCACGCACCUGUAAUCCCAGCUACUUGGGAGGCCGAGGCAUAAGAAUUGCUUGAACCUAGGAGGCAGAGGUUAUAGUGAGCCGAGAUUGCGCCACUACACUCCAGACUGGGCAACAGAGCAAGACUCUGUCUCAAAAACAAAAAAACAAAAAAGGAAAUCCUAGAGGAGGUCUUUCAGACUGAAAUGACAGUAGACAGUAAUUUGAAUCUACAUGAAGAAAUAAAAUAAACCAUUAAAGGUAACUCCAUAGGUAAAUAUAAAAGGUAGCAUAAAUGUAUUCUUGUUUAAUUUUGUUUAAUUUUUUCCUAUCCUAUUUAAAAGAUAAGUACAUAAUGCAGUAAUUAUAAACCUGCAUUGAUAAUGCACACAAUGUAUUAAGAUGUAUUUUGUGUGACAAUAAUAGCACAAAGAAGGAGAAAGGGAACCAAAGCUAUAUAGGAGCACAUUUUUUGUGUAAUAAUGAAAUUAAGUUGGCAUUUAUCUAAACUAAGUUGUUAUUAAAUAAGAUGUUAAUUGUAAUUCCCAGGACAAUGACUAAGAAAUUAACUCAAAAUAUAGUAAAAAGGCGUGAGCCACUGCGCCCGGCCAACUUAACCAAU
rnacentral:lncRNA from 1 species